rnacentral:rRNA from 1 species
CCUACGGUAGGCAGCAGUGAGGAAUAUUGGUCAAUGGCCGUAAGGCUGAACCAGCCAAGUCGCGUGAAGGAAGAAGGAUCUAUGGUUUGUAAACUUCUUUUAUAUGGGAAUAAAAUUAUCCACGUGUGGGAUUUUGCAUGUACCCUAUGAAUAAGCAUCGGCUAACUCCGUGCCAGCAGCCGCGGUAAUACGGAGGAUGCGAGCGUUAUCCGGAUUUAUUGGGUUUAAAGGGUGCGUAGGUUGUUUGUUAAGUCAGCUGUGAAAGUUUGUGGCUCAACCAUAAAAUUGCCGUUGAAACUGGAAGACUUGAGUGUGUUUGAGGUAGGCGGAAUGCGUGGUGUAGCGGUGAAAUGCAUAGAUAUCACGAAGAACUCCGAUUGCGAAGGCAGCUUACUAAGCCAUAACUGACACUGAAGCACGAAAGUGUGGGGAUCAAACAGGAUUAGAUACCCGUGUAGUC